GCCCUGGUGGCGCAGUGGACAGCGCACCUGACUACGAAUCAGGGGGGCGCAGGUUCGAAUCCUGCCCAGGGCA
rnacentral:tRNA from 1 species